GUUCUCUUGAAGAAUGUAUAUACUAAACUGGAAGGCUACCAAAGAAGAUUAACAUGGCUCCUAUACAAGAAAGAUGUGAACAUUCUUGAAGCAUUCCAUAUUCAU
ensembl:snRNA U6 U6 spliceosomal RNA